AUUCCCUUACGAGGACACUUCCAUAAUAAUUCUUUGUACCUUUCCCAUGCCUCAUACAAGGACUCAUCAUCCAUUUGUUGGAAAGCAGUGAUCUUGUUCCUCAACUU
rnacentral:snoRNA from 1 species